rnacentral:misc_RNA from 1 species
CCAAAACUCUCAAAGCCUUUAAGAAUACAUUGUAAAUGAUGAUUAAGUUAGAAAGAACAUGUCUCUAUAUAUAGAGUCCUAAACAUUUUCCUACUAAAAAAAGGAUUAUCAAUCCAAAACAUUUUCCUAAAAGGAAAACCUAUUUAUGGUAAGAAAUCAGGGCAAAUAAAACCCAACAAAUCUUCCUCUUGGGCUGAUUUUCUGACAAAAUAAAUUUGUCCACCUUCAUCACCUAAUCUUAAACAACUUCCUUAUCCACUCCAUAUUCUCCUUUGCAAAAUUUAUGUCUCAACACAGAGAGCCUCUCUGAAACAAUUUCUCCAAUAAAAUCUUCAUUACUGUAAGAAAAGAUCGCGGCUAGAACUACAGCCGCAAAGAGGAACACCUCUUUCUAACUUUGGUUCAAUCAUCAAUAAUCGAACUACUAAACCUAACUCGAUCAUUGAAUCUGUCUCUGAUACCACUUGUUAAAACCGAAAAUAAGCAGGUGUAAAUGU